rnacentral:rRNA from 1 species
GUGCCAGCAGCUGCGGUAAUACGUAGGGUGCGAGCGUUGUCCGGAAUUAUUGGGCGUAAAGGGCUCGUAGGCGGUUUGUCGCGUCGGGAGUGAAAACACCGAGCUUAACUCGGUGCUUGCUUUCGAUACGGGCAGACUAGAGGCAUGCAGGGGAGAACGGAAUUCCUGGUGUAGCGGUGAAAUGCGCAGAUAUCAGGAGGAACACCGGUGGCGAAGGCGGUUCUCUGGGCAUGUCCUGACGCUGAGGAGCGAAAGUGUGGGAGCGACAGGAUUAGAUACCCUGGUAGUCCACACCGUAAACGUUGGGCGCUAGGUGUGGGAUCCAUUCCACGGGUUCCGUGCCGCAGCUACGCAUUAAGCGCCCCG